GGGAAGAUGAUUCUUUAGCUGCAGUAGAAGUUCUUGUUGCUGGUGUCCGAAUGAUCUACCCAGCAUGCUUUGUUCUAGUCCCUCAGUCAGACAUUCCUACUCCUAGCCCUGUGGGAUCCACUCACUGUUCAUCUUCUUGCUUGGGUGUCCACCAAGUGCCUGCUUCCACAAGAGAUCCUGCUAUGUCUUCGGUUACGCUUACACCACCUACGUCUCCUGAGGAAGUCCAAACAGUUGAUCCUCAGUCUGUCCAGAAGUGGGUCAAAUUUUCUUCAGUAUCUGAUGGCUUCAACUCCGAUAGUACUAGCCACCAUGGUGGGAAAAUACCCAGAAAAUUAGCAAAUCAUGUGGUGGAUAGAGUUUGGCAAGAAUGCAAUAUGAACAGAGCACAGAACAAGAGGAAGUAUUCUGCUUCAUCAGGUGGUCUAUGCGAAGAAGCGACAGCUGCUAAAGUGGCAUCCUGGGAUUUUGUUGAAGCCACACAAAGAACAAAUUGCAGUUGUUUGAGGUAGAUUAUUUCCCGAUCGAUUGAUGCCUAUGUGUGAUAGUUUGUUACGCCACUGAAUGCUUAUGCCCACUUUAUUUGAAACAGCUUACAUGAACAUAUGUCAGGAUUUUUUUUCAAAAGAAAAUUCAGGAAAAAUAUUUCAGGAAUUUGAAGCUGAUUAUAGAAGUACAUGUAAAUAUAAGCUUUCAGUUCAUUCACUGUUACCAGAGGCAGACUCUGAAAGUUUUGUUUCCUAGUAGCUAA
rnacentral:lncRNA from 1 species